GCCUACGGGAGGCUGCAGUGGGGAAUAUUGCACAAUGGGCGCAAGCCUGAUGCAGCGACGCCGCGUGGAGGAUGAAGGUCUUCGGAUUGUAAACUCCUGUUAAGUGGGAAAAAAGACUUCUGGCUAAUAUCCAGAGGGGAUGAUGGUACCACUAGAGAAAGCACCGGCAAACCUCGUGCCAGCAGCCGCGGUAAGACGAUGGGUGCAAGCGUUAUUCGGAAUUACUGGGCGUAAAGAGCGUGAAGACGGUUGUUUAAGUCAACUGUUAAAUCACCCGGCUUAACCGGGUAUCAGCAGUUGAUACUGGAUGACUAGAGCUUAGAAGAGAGAAGUGGAAUUCUCUGAGUAGCGGUAAAAUGCGUAGAUCUCGAGAGGAACACCAGUGGUGAAGACGGCUUCUUGGUCUAUAGCUGACGUUCAAGCGCGAAAGCGUGGGGAGCAAACAGGAUUAGAUACCCCUGUAGUC
rnacentral:rRNA from 1 species